GACGAACGCUGGCGGCGUGCUUAACACAUGCAAGUCGAGCGGUAAGGCCCUUUCGGGGUACACGAGCGGCGAACGGGUGAGUAACACGUGGGUGACCUGCCCUCAGCUCUGGGAUAAGCCUGGGAAACCGGGUCUAAUACCGGAUAUGACUCCAUGACGCAUGUUGUGGGGUGGAAAGCCUUGUGCGGCUGAGGAUGGGCCCGCGGCCUAUCAGCUUGUUGGUGGGGUGAUGGCCUACCAAGGCGACGACGGGUAGCCGGCCUGAGAGGGCGACCGGCCACACUGGGACUGAGACACGGCCCAGACUCCUACGGGAGGCAGGCAGUGGGGAAUCUUGUGCAAUGGGCGAAAGCCUGACGCAGCGACGCCGCGUGAGGGAUGACGGCCUGGU
rnacentral:rRNA from 1 species